rnacentral:lncRNA from 1 species
AAAAUCUCAAAGAUAUUACGUACAAAUGCAUCAUUCAUUCAGCAUUGUAUAUAAAAAAUCGAAUCUCCAUUUAAAUCUUUCAUCAUCAAAUCAAGUCACCCCAUGGCCCAUGCACACUUGCAAUAUUUUUGCAUGGGGUCCAUUAUGAGUUAUUUUUCCCAACAUGCUAUUUAAUUUGUUAUUAUUAUAUUAUAUAAUGCAACUCCAGGCAGCUUCUUCUCCUUCUCCUUAGAGCCAGUAGCUCAGCUCCUUGCUUUUGAAUGAUCAUGGAGAAAAGCAAGUCAUUCCCAGAUUAUUCCGGUUCAUAUGUUGAAGCCCGGUUCGGGUUAGAGGAUCGAUUUGAUCGAUGCAAAUCGUUUAGCUUCAACGGCAACGGCCCCGGCGAAAAUCCGGAGGUGAAGAGGAGGAAGAGGGUGGCAUCUUAUAAUAUGUAUACUGUGGAAGGUAAGCUUAAAUCUUCCUUCAGAAACAGCUUCAAGUGGAUCAAGAACAAGUUUACAGAUGGCUACUAUGACGAUUGAUGAGAGAUAAUAAACUUUCUCAUCAAAUUUCAUCUAUAUAUAUAUAUAUUUGAUGAGACAGAAAUUUUCUCUAGUUAAAAUGAAGUGUGGCUAUAUAUGGAACUUAUCAUUUGAACUUUUGUCUCUGUGAAUAUAUAUAUAUAUAUAUAUAUAUAUAUAUAUAUAUAUAUAUGUAAUAUAAAUGUCACUUUUAUUCCAAGUUGAGUUAUGUGCUGUAUAUUUUAAAGUUUUCUGCUUAAAAAUAGUGUCAAUUAAUUCACAAAUAAAUAAAUAAAUAUAUAUAAAUAGAGAUAAUUAAUUAAGUUGGUUAAACUAGUUGAUGAACUAGAUAAACAAUACCAAUUCAAGAUUCUUGGAAAAAUUGUAGUAUUUAUUAUUAUAACUCACAGACCACAGUGGAGUUCAGUUGAUAAAGAGUUAAAAGUAAGAUAAAGAAUGUAAUAUAUAGCCUGGAAAUUUGAAUUUGAUAUGUUGGGGACAAAAGGAUACCAUUUUCCAUAGCCUAAUGAUCUUCGAGGCCAAAGAGCUUUGAUAUCUUCUCCAUAUCAAGCGUCCGGAAGUCAACAGUAGACAUGGACCUGCGGUUGAGCCUGUUCAUUCUGUUAUCUUCAAUAUGGUUGACGGUUUCUGUUAUAGAGGCCAUUAAGAGGGGGAAAUUCUUGAUGUUCUUGAGGGCAUUAGGAUGAGCCUCAGUUGUUGCAGAUCGGUUAGGAUUAGAGCGGAAAGGCAGAUGAGGAGGAGGAGGAGGGCUCCUGCUUAGCUUCCUACUUGAGGCACCACUACUUGUUAUACUGAUAACCAUCUCUUGGCUUUGCGCGCUUUGCUCUUCCUGCAACCAGACAAGAAUUAUUAGGAACCAUUUCAUCUCUCUUGAAUCUUGUUCUGAGAAUAUAUAUAUAUGCAGGUCAUAUUAAUACAACACAGAAUCCGAUUUAAUUUCUAUUUCUGAGAUAAAUCAAUUUUUGACAUUGUUCAUACUUCAUACCCUGUUUGAGUUAAGGAUGGAGCUCACUCAGAAAAGAGUUAAAUAUUCAGCCACUGGGAGGAAGGGCUGACCUCUUUUUAUUCUUACUAGGAAAAAAGUUGACCCUUUAAUCACAUUUCUCUCCUACAUCUUAAGUCUGUAUGAAAUUAAGAAGAAUUUCUUAAUUCAAAAUCCAAACACAUUAUUUGUCCGAGAAUAUAACAUCCCUUCCAAUCUUUGGAUGAUGUGUUCAGAAUCAGUAUGGUUUAAUUAAGUUUUCAAACUGAAAGCAUGUGCAUAAUCUAUAAGCCGUACAUAAAGUUUAACAUGGAAGACAACAUGUCAACAACUCUGUUUAAGUAAUUCUUCAGCGAAAAAUACUUUUAAUGUUCAGUACCCACAUCAGUUUGGAUGUGUGCACGAACAGUUUCUGUUGUGCUGACAGCAUACGACUGCCCUUUUGAUUGAAAACCAAAACAGGAAUACUAUUCAAGAUUCGAGUAUUAAAUGAAUUAUCUGCAAGACAUUUUCAUGUUAACUUCUAACUUCUUUCAUCUUCCUUAAAUUACUCAUACAACAUGCUGCUUAACACAGAACACAAACACUACUAUGUGAUCAGAGCUGAAGCAUUUUAUAAGAUUUUGAAUUGUUGUAACUUCAAGUCGAAUAUGAUGGUCUGGGGAUGUAAUAUAUUUACGGUGAGAUUUACCUCUUUAGAAGAUUCCAAAUUCUCUUUGGCAUAUUCAGUGCCCAACUCCUUUCUUCCAUAACCUUCACGAUUUCUGAUUGCCUGUUGCUUUUUCUUCGACCUUCUACUCCUGCUGAGGCAGUAAAAACAUAAUGAGACCAUUUAGAUACAGGCGUUAGGAUAUAUCAUACAAAAAUAACUAUCAACGUGCUUAAAUGAAUUGUAGAAAUCAGCUCGGCUUGUUUGAUGUGGUAUUUGACCUGAUGAACUUUAUUUCAGUAUAUCAUUUAGGGUACAUAACCUUUAGUUACACAUCCCUACAAAGUUUAUAUUAUUAUUCUUGCUGAAGGCUCUGUCAUCGCCAUGUUCCAUUCAAGAGUGAUUGAAUUUGGUUAUUAAGCUAUAAUGAUAGCAAUUGAUCACCACAGGUUUCAUUGGUUAGCCAAUGUCACCUUUGGUGUUGGGAGACUAGAAACUAGCAUAUAAAAUACUAAAAAAUGUAGUAUGAUCUUAGGUCUACUUACAUGACUGAGCACUAUGCUUACACUGCAAUAUGCUGCAGUAUCCUACCUCCGUUUCAAAAUUAGAGACAUUUGACUUUUUAGAGUCAAUUUGCGAAAUCCUAUAACUCAAAAUUGAUAUAAUUUCGUUCAAGUUUUGAAAACAAAAAAUGUGAUAAUUAAGUAGUACUUUAUAGUUAGUUUACAAUUGUUAUAUUUGUUUGUACUAAAACUAAAUAACUUCAUAUUAAUUUUGAAUUUUAAAAUUUCGCGAAUCGGCCCUAAAAAGUCAAAAUGUAUCUCUAAUUUUGGAAUAGAUGGAGUAGUAUUCAUAAUUAUUUCUACUUUUCCAGUGUUGGCAGUGACACAUUGACCUCAUAUUGUGAUCCUUUGCCAGUUCAUCAUAAUCUUGCUACUAAACAGGAAUUUCAACACUAAAUGUCCAUACCGCAGAGCGGUGCAUUGAGAUGAAACACUUGUGAAUAUAGAGUUUAUAAUGAUAAAUAUUUUCAUAAGAAAGUUAAAAUAGUGUGUGGUUAUAUAAUUGUAAAAGUACUUUAAAAAAUAUAUAAAUCAUACAAAAGUUACGACUUUUAGUUGUUAUAUUAUGCUUUGUCCAAAAGCAUAAAUUUUCUUCUUGUAUUAAAAGUGUUAUUUAGCCAAAAUCUCUUCUCACUAAAAGCAUUUUUGUAGGGUCUCCUAACACCAAAAUGUUUACAAAUUUAGUUUAGAAGUGCUUUUACUCCACCAUACUGCUUUGCCAAACGGGCUCAAAAUCUGGAGACUAAAGCAUUACCAGUCGUACUACUUACUGUUAUACUUCUAUGAUUACUAAGACACAGUUUAGAAGUAAAGGGAAUAUAUUAUCUGUUUUGCACCAUUUCUUUUUCAAACAAUAGACUGGUAAAAAGUGGUAAUUGAUACCUAUUGCUAGUUAUUGAGUUCUAAUAGGAAAGAAGAAAUAAAUGGAUUACAUACUUUUUCCGAUCCGUUGAUUGAGAUGGCACAUCAUCCUCUUUAUUCAUUGCAGGUAGACCAGCAAGGUCACAUGCUAGUGGACUUGAACUAAAGAACUGCAAGCAGGAUUCGCCAUUUAGAAGAAGAAAACAGAGAAUAAAUGUCUUA